rnacentral:RNase_P_RNA from 1 species
CGCAGGAGGUAACACCUCUCCACCGCGAGGUGAGGAUCAGAGCAACAGAGACGAGUCGCGGCGGGCAACCGCCGCGGGUGAAACGGGCAAUCUCUGCGCGCAGCAAUACCAAAUAGGCCAGCGUUGAUGUGGCUCCGCGGAGCUGGCGGGUAGGUAGCACCGAGCCGUCUGGCGACAGACGGCCCAGAGGAAUGGCGGUCACGCCACGGGCAACCGUGGUGCACAGAAUCCGGCUUACCGGCGGACUUCACAC